GACGAACGCUGGCGGCGUGCUUAACACAUGCAAGUCGAGCGGUAAGGCCUCUUCGGGGGUCCACGAGCGGCGCACGGGUGCGUAACACGUGGGUGACCUGCCCUCAGCUCUGGGAUAAGCCUGGGAAACUGGGACUAAUACCGAAUCUGACCUUUCCUCUCAUGGGGUUUGUUGGAAAGUUUUUUCCGCUGUGGAUGGGCCGGCGGCCUAUCAGCUUGUUGGUGGGGGGAUGGCCUACCCAGGCGGCUACCGGGAGCCCGCCUGAGAGGGCGACCGGCCACACCGGGAGGGAGGCACCGGCCGGAAUCCUACGGGAGGGGGCAAGGGGGAAAAGGGGCAAAGGGGCGGGAGUGUGAAGGGGCUACGGAGCGUGGGGGAUGACGGCUUGGGGGGAGUAAACCUCUUACGAACCAGACGAGUUUGGACGGUAGGGGAAGAAGAAGCACCGGCCAACUACGUG
rnacentral:rRNA from 1 species